GGGGACAGUGAGGACCAGGAACCUCCAGGUGGCACCUCCGCGUUGGAGGACCCCAAUGGAGCGAUGGGUUCACGGGGCGAUGGGUUCUCGGGGUCUUUGGUGGCUUCUGGGGGACAGUGAGGUCCAGAUGGGGACACGGAGGUGACCCUGAGGUCCAUAUGGAUGUGGGUGACAAUGUGGUGACACUCCUGUCCCCAACCUUGGGGACAGUGAGGACCAGGAACCUCCAGGUGGCACCUCCGCAUUGGAGGACCCCAAUGGAGCGAUGGGUUCAUGGGGCGAUGGGUUCUUGGGGUCUUUGGUGGCUUCUGGGGGACACUGAGGUCAAGAAUGGGACACGGAGGUGACACCGAGGUCCACGUGGCCGUGGGUGACGCCGUGGUGGCCCCGUUGUCCCCAACAGGCGCUGAUGGAGCGCUUCAACGCCGACAAGCGCAUCUUCUGCUUCAUCCUCUCCACCCGCAGCGGCGGGGUGGGGGUCAACCUGGCGGGGGCCGACACCGUCAUCUUCUACGACAGCGACUGGAACCCGACGAUGGACGCACAGGCGCAGGACCGCUGUCACCGCAUCGGCCAAACGCGCGACGUCCACAUCUACCGGUUGAUCAGCGAGCGGACGGUGGAGGAGAACAUCCUGAAGAAAGCCAACCAGAAGCGCAUGCUGGGGGACAUGGCCAUCGAGGGCGGCAACUUCACCACCGCCUACUUCAAGCAGGUGGCUGUGGGGCGCUGGGGGGCAAGGGGGGGGGGACGGAGGGGGCGGGAUGUCACCGCGCCGCGCCGCUCUCGUCCUCUUGGUCACCUCCUUUGUCCCCUCCCCUCCGCAGCAAACGAUCCGCGAGCUGUUCGACAUGGCGCCGGAGAAGGACGGGGACAGGGACAAGGACAAGGACAAGGACAGGGACAGGGACAGGGACGGGCCCCCCGAGGAAGAUGAGGACCCCGUGGCCACGCGGCGCACGCACAUCCUCGAGCAGGUCCGGCCCCGUGUCCCCAACCGUGUCCCCAACUGUGUCCCCAGCCGUGUCCUCCUGAUGUCCCCAUCCCUGUCCCCAUCUGUGUCCUCUUGAUGUCCCCAACCGUGUCCCCAACUGUGUCCCCAGCCCUGUCCCCAACCGUGUCCCCAGC
rnacentral:lncRNA from 1 species